rnacentral:rRNA from 1 species
UACGUAGGGUGCAAGCGUUAAUCGGAAUUACUGGGCGUAAAGCGCACGUAGGCGGAUUUGUUAGUCAGGGGUGAAAUCCCGGGGCUCAACCUCGGAACUGCCUUUGAUACUGCAAGUCUCGAGUCCGAUAGAGGUGGGUGGAAUUCCUAGUGUAGAGGUGAAAUUCGUAGAUAUUAGGAAGAACACCGGUGGCGAAGGCGGCCCACUGGAUCGGUACUGACGCUGAGGUGCGAAAGCGUGGGGAGCAAACAGG